AGUGGCGCACGGGUGAGUAACACGUAGCUUACCUACCUCCAAGCGCGGGAUAACGUUCCGAAAGGAAUGCUAAUACCGCAUAAGCUCACGGGCUGUAGAGGCUUGUGAGAAAAGGGGCAACUCACUUGGAGAUGGGGCUGCGGCCCAUCAGCUGGUUGGUGAGGUAAAAGCUUACCAAGGCGACGACGGGUAGGGGACCUGAGAGGGUGACCCCCCACACUGGGACUGAGACACGGCCCAGACUCCUACGGGAGGCAGCAGUGAGGGAUAUUGCACAAUGGGCGCAAGCCUGAUGCAGCGACGCCGCGUGAGUGACGAAGGCCUUCGGGUCGUAAAACUCUUUUCUGCGUGACGAGCAAGGACGGUAGCGCAGGAAUAAGUCUCGGCUAACUACGUGCCAGCAGCCGCGGUAAAACGUAGGAGACGAACGUUAUCCGGAGUUACUGGGCGUAAAGGGCGUGCAGGCGGUUCGGUAAGUCUGGCGUGAAAUCAUUCGGCUUAACCGGGUGAUGUCGUCGGAGACUGUCGAACUAGAGGGCAAUAGAGGCGUGUGGAAUUCCGGGUGUAGUGGUGAAAUGCGUAGAGAUCCUGGGGAACACCAGUGGCGAAGGCGACACGCUGGGUUGCACCUGACGCUAAAACGCGACAGCAUGGGGAGCGAACGGGAUUAGAAACCCCGGUAGUCCAUGCCGUAAACGAUGCCAACUAGGUGUUCGGUGGGGGGAAACCCCACAGGGUACCGAAGCCAACACGGUAAGUUGGCCGCCUGGGGGAGUACGGUCGCAAGAUUAAAACUCAGAGGAAUUGACGG
rnacentral:rRNA from 1 species